AUAUUACCUGGCAGGGGCGAGACCAUGAUCAAGAAGGUGGUUCACCCUGGGCAAGGCUCAUUGCACACUGGUUGUGCUGACCCCUUUGAACUCCCCAAAUGUUGGAAUCUUGACUGUGCAAUUUUUGAUAAUGGGGACUGCGUUUGUACUUUCCCCUG